UACGUAGGGUGCAAGCGUUAUCCGGAAUUAUUGGGCGUAAAGAGCUCGUAGGCGGUUUGUCGCGUCUGCUGUGAAGACUGGAGGCUCAACCUCCAGCCUGCAGUGGGUACGGGCAGACUAGAGUGCGGUAGGGGAGAUUGGAAUUCCUGGUGUAGCGGUGGAAUGCGCAGAUAUCAGGAGGAACACCGAUGGCGAAGGCGGGUCUCUGGGCAACAACUGACGCUGAGGAGCGAAAGCGUGGGGAGCGAACAGG
rnacentral:rRNA from 1 species